rnacentral:rRNA from 1 species
UACAGAGGUCUCGAGCGUUGUUCGGAUUUAUUGGGCGUAAAGAGCUCGUAGGCGGCUUGUUGCGUCGACUGUGAAAACCCGCGGCUUAACCGCGGGCUUGCAGUUGAUACGGGCAGGCUAGAGUUCGGUAGGGGAGACUGGAAUUCCUGGUGUAGCGGUGAAAUGCGCAGAUAUCAGGAGGAACACCGGUGGCGAAGGCGGGUCUCUGGGCCGAUACUGACGCUGAGGAGCGAAAGCGUGGGGAGCGAACAGG